GCUUGCUUAGGCAUACCAUGUACUAAAAUUAGAACGACACAGAGUUUAGCAUGGCCCCCGUGCAAGGACGACACACAAAUCUAUGAUGUGUUCUUUACUUAA